ensembl:lincRNA
GUUCAAGUCUAGUCUGGAAUAAACAAGGCCCUGUCUCAAUAAAAAAAAAAAAAAAAAAAAUGGGCAUGGUAGCACACCCUGAAAUCCCAGCACUUGGGAGGCUGAUACAGGAGGAUCACUGUGAGUUUGAGGCCAGCCUGGGCUACAUAGUGAGACUUUGUCUCAAACCCCCCCAAAAAGGAGGGGGCCCACAAUUCAUCCUCCAAAAAGAUUAUAGUUGCCAUGUCUCCCAUUCCUCAUUUAUCAUCCUGGUCAGCAGAGUUAUUUUCCUUCUCUUCUCCAUGACAGCCUCUGUCCCAUCACAGAGACACCAGCUCGCGUAUGGGUGGCUCCACCCUUGACUCCACCCCCACCCCCAGCUUCACGCUGUCCCAGGGCCACAUUCCCAGAGAGACUUCAGGUGCCACAAGGAGCACUUGCUUCCUUAUCCUCUCUCUGCUUUUCCCUGACCCUGAAGCAUCCUGCUCUCUAAAUCAAGCCGCAAGGCAGGAAUCACAAGAACAUGCGGAUGCACCAUCCAAAAUGAGCUCUUAUUGCAGUGAACAGGCGAAGGGUAGAGUUGUCCGGAAUCGAAGGAUUCAUCGUGCAAAUCAGCGGCUCCCCCAGCACGACUGCUUACUCUGCCAUCAAUACCAAGGACAGAUGCGGUGGCUCGCACAUUCCUUGCGGGCAGGAAACUUCGGUUUUUCGGCUGGAUCCCUGAGCAGUACUCCUGCUGUUGUAGAACCUCAUCAUCUUCCCUCUCCAGUCACUAGGGUCCCCGCUAAGAUGAUAAGAACGAGCAAAAUGUUCUGAAGUCAAAGCCAGUUAAGUCCACUUCUCCGGCUCACUCAUUGGCUGUAAGGAGUCCCUGCACGGUGGGCAGCACCGGGCUCUGUGCGCGGGUCCCCUCUGGUGGCAGCACUAUGCGACUGCAGUCACCGCGAGGGAGGCGCAGGGUGCUGCAGCUCCCCCUGGCGUUAGGCACGAGUCGCACGUAGGGCAAAGGAACCGGACUGGGAGCGCGCUGAGCUCUGGGUGCUUCGCUGUAAAUGCACCGGUGGGGCGGAGUGGGGUGGGGAUUGUACACCAGCGUCUUAAAGUGUGCGUGGGGGUAGGCUCCUGCAUGUUUGCUGUGCCCAAGUCCUUGAGCCCUGUGGAUCUAUCGCCCUACAUGUGUGUUGUGUGAGCCCAUGCUUGCACACGCGGGUAGGCUGGUGGUGGGGAUGUCCGCGCCUCCAGUGCAGGGCGGAGUCCUCACGGAGGCGUGAAAUUGGUUUGGAGCAAACACAUUAUGGAAAGCAAUUACCGGGGAGAGGUUCUGAGCCCGCGGGACCGACAGCCAGGAGGCUGGGGAGGAGGCUCCCUGGCUGCCAAUGUCUCCUGUCUGACCCCAUACGGGACCUUCCUGGCAUCUCCUUGCAGAGGGACAGUGCUAGGCACGGCCUCCACACAGUGACCACUGCACUGCCGCCAAUCUUUCCCUCCCCACUCAGCCAAGCCCUCCCACACCAAACACCCUCGUGCAUGGCACAAGCCCCUCCCCUCUCAUCACUGGAGAACAGGCACCAUGCUCCGUGAAGCCUUCCCGGAUCCCUAUCCCACUCCUUUUGCCCCCAUCCCCUGCUCUCACAGUUGUUUUAACUUCCAUUCAUUGCUCAUUGUGUUGUGAUUAAUUCCCACACUGUUUCUGGGAUCGAUUGAGAAUUCAUUGAGGGCAAGAAUAUCUCAUGCACACAGCCCUAUGUCUAGUACCUAACACCUGGGGCUCAGGAAGCAGAGAAUGAGCAAGAGUGGAGGGACUGAGCUAGGUGUGGUGGUGAACCCCUGUAAUCCCAGCACUCGGGAGGCUUGAGACAGGAGGAUCACAAGUUCAAGGCCUGCCUAGAGUAUAUAGUGAGUUGAAGUCCAGCCUGGACUACAUGGAGAGGCCCUGUCACAAAAAAAAAAAAAAACAGGAAAAGAGUGGAUGGAAUAAAAUGGAAUUUCCAUCAAAAUUCAUAAGCAGAACCCUCAGUAAGUUGUUCCCUGAGAGUCAGGACAUCUUGGAACAGGACCUCUUGAACAUCC